AUGCCUGGACUGAUAAAAGAUGGCAUGCAAACAUGGAUCUCUCUGGGGCUGUGGCAAGGGAUUUAUUGGCUCCCUGAGAACAGUGGAAGAGUUUCUGUCCUGACCCACAACAUGAUGGAUGUUCAGACAAGAGGUUUCAGGAAUAGCACAACAGCAGUUCUGUGGGCAGUAGACAUAAUAGAAGACAGAUGCUUUUGCGGUAUCCUGUCUCUCUAUUGCCUGGACCUCUGGAAGACAGAAGAGUGAGAAUCAGCAGUGAUCGUUUUCCUGCAAACGCAAUUUGAGGAACUACUUUGACAACCGAUAGAAAAACAACUACCUUGCAGCAUGACCACAGCAAGUGCAUUUUCUUUCUGACAAUGUAUAAUUGCACUGUGUCCCUGGUGAGGAAUGAUGCCAGAAUGGCCAUCUGAUUAUCUGUAUUCAUUUCUCAUACUGUAACCAAGUUGUUUAUUUUCCACAAAUGUUCAUGCAAAAAUGCAGGGAUUCUCCAUGUAGAAUAAAGUAGGCCUACAAAGUAAGGAAGGACUGGUA
rnacentral:lncRNA from 1 species